rnacentral:rRNA from 1 species
AACGAACGCUGGCGGCAUGCCUAACACAUGCAAGUCGAACGAGACCUUCGGGUCUAGUGGCGCACGGGUGCGUAACGCGUGGGAACCUGCCCUUAGGUUCGGAAUAACUCCCCGAAAGGGGUGCUAAUACCGGAUAAUGUCUUCGGACCAAAGAUUUAUCGCCUUUGGAUGGGCCCGCGUUGGAUUAGCUAGUUGGUAGGGUAAAAGCCUACCAAGGCGACGAUCCAUAGCUGGUCUGAGAGGAUGAUCAGCCACACUGGGACUGAGACACGGCCCAGACUCCUACAGGAGGCAGCAGUGGGGAAUAUUGGACAAUGGGCGAAAGCCUGAUCCAGCAAGGCCGCGUGAGUGAUGAAGGCCUUAGGGUUGUAAAGCUCUUUUACCCGGGAUGAUAAUGACAGUACCGGGAGAAUAAGCUCCGGCUAACUCCGU